rnacentral:rRNA from 1 species
GGAAAUCUCACCAGGCCUGGACACUGGAAGGAUUGACAGAUUGAUAGAUCUUUCUUGAUUCGGUGGGUGGUUGUGCAUGGCCGUUCUUAGUUGGUGGAGUGAUUUGUCCGGUUAAUUCCGUUAACGAACGAGACCUUAACCUGCUAAAUAGUGACGCGGUUCAUCGAACCGUGGGCCACUUCUUAGAGGGACUAUCGGAUUCAAACCGAUGGAAGUGUGAGGCAAUAA